GGCAAGGUGGCCGAGUGGUUAUGGCGCUGGUUUUAGGUCUUCACCAAUCACCAGUGGGAAACUUCGCGGGUUCGAAUCCCGUCCUUGUCA
rfam:Aspergillus flavus NRRL3357 scf_1106286417182 genomic scaffold, whole genome shotgun sequence.